rnacentral:lncRNA from 1 species
AAAAGAGAUCGUUGAGGAGGCUAUUUCAAUACGGCCUACAGAAGGUUCUCCAUUAGGGGUGGCAAUCCAGCUCACUAUUUGUAAACUUGCUCGUGUUCAGCUCGAAAUGAGUUCGAGAUCGAAUCACUCAUUUAGUAAACGAGUCGAGCACGAGCUGAAAUUUUCAUUUCGUUUAAUAAACGAGCCGAACACGAGCUGAGAUCAGUUCACUUGUGUUCGGCUCGAUAACAUCUCGAAUACAUAUAUUUUGUAUAUAUAUAUAUAUAUAAACUAAUAAGUAUAUAUGUAUAUAAUAUAAUUUUUUAUUAUUUGAUUUUUAGUUCAAUCUAAAUAUAAAGUCAAUUCAAUUAUAAAAUGAUUCAUUUAUAUGUAAAAUUUCAAUCAUUAGAUCAAAAUAUAACGGAUAAGAUUUUAUAAAUUUAUUUCUUAUAUAUAUUCUUUCUAAUCCUUUUAAAUUUUUAUUCAUAAGUCAGCUCGUAUUCGGGUCAUGUUUGUUUGGCUUGUUAAUAAACGAGCCGAAUACAAGUCGAAUUUUUCGACUCGAUAUUUUAACGAGCUAACUCGUAUUCGGCUCGUUUAUGAAACGAGUCGAAUAUAAGUCGACCCCAGCUCGCUCAUGUUUGGCUCGUUGACACCCCUAUUCUCCAUACAUAUUUACCUAAUAAAAUAUUACG